AACAGGAUUAGAUACCCUGGUAGUCCACGCCCUAAACGAUGCGAACUGGAUGUUGGUCUCAACUCGGAGAUCAGUGUCGAAGCUAACGCGUUAAGUUCGCCGCCUGGGGAGUACGGUCGCAAGACUGAACUCAAAGGAAUUGACGGGGGCCGCACAAGCGGUGGAGUAUGUGGUUUAAUUCGAUGCAACGCGAAGAACCUUACCUGGCCUUGACAUGUCUGGAAUCCUGCAGAGAUGCGGGAGUGCCUUCGGGAAUCAGAACACAGGUGCUGCAUGGCUGUCGUCAGCUCGUGUCGUGAGAUGUUGGGUUAAGUCCCGCAACGAGCGCAACCCUUGUCCUUAGUUGCCAGCGAGUAAUGUCGGGAACUCUAAGGAGACUGCCGGUGACAAACCGGAGGAAGGUGGGGAUGACGUCAAGUCCUCAUGGCCCUUACGGCCAGGGCUACACACGUACUACAAUGGUCGGUACAGAGGGUUGCAAUACCGCGAGGUGGAGCCAAUCCCAGAAAGCCGAUCCCAGUCCGGAUCGAAGUCUGCAACUCGACUUCGUGAAGUCGGAAUCGCUAGUAAUCGCGGAUCAGCUAUGCCGCGGUGAAUACGUUCCCGGGCCUUGUACACACCGCCCGUCACACCAUGGGAGUGAGUUGCUC
rnacentral:rRNA from 1 species